GACGAACGCUGGCGGCGUGCUUAACACAUGCAAGUCGAACGGCAAGGCCCGGCUUUUGUGGGGUGCUCGAGUGGCGAACGGGUGAGUAACACGUGAGUAACGUGCACUUGACUUUGGGAUAACUUCAGGAAACUCGGGCUAAUACCGGAUAGGAGCUACUGGUGAAUGGUGGGGGUUGGAAAGUUUCGGCGGUUGGGGAUGGACUGGCGGCUUAUCAGCUUGUUGGUGGGGUAGUGUCUUACCAAGGCUUUGACGGGUAGCCGGCCUGAGAGGGUGAGCAGCCACAUUGGGCCUGGACUAAGGCCCGGACUCGUACGGGAGGCAACAGUGGAGUAUGUUGCACAAUGCGCGGAAGCCGGAUGCAGCACCGCCACGCGCGGGGUGACGGCCAUCCGUUUGUAAAGCGAUGUCGCCUGUGCAGAGGCGUGAGUGACGGUAAUGGGUGAAGAAGCACCGGCUAACUACGUG
rnacentral:rRNA from 1 species